ACCAAAUUAAGAUCCCAUGGUGGAAAGGUUUCCCUGAUGGCACGAACUAAACGAGACAAAGCUUUGAAAAACCUAAUGAUUACAAUAUUCAAAGCCAAACAUCUGAUUGAGAAGAAACUGAUAGAAACUUGGACCAUAAGUAGCACGUUUCAAUCAUUUUCGGAAAGCCCAUUUGAAGGAAUCUAAGGAUGUUUGGAUUGGAAGUGGUUACGGGAUUUUCUUUGAUCUUGACACACCAG